UAAAAGUAGGAAAUACAUAAAAUUGUAGGUACUUUCAAGAAAUAUAGUUAACUGUAAGUGCUGUAUUUUAAUAAUCUAUCAAAAAUCAAAAUCAUCAGGAUAAUAUUAGGUAUUGAUUUUCAGACAAGAAUUAGAUUACAGUGAUGGUCAAAAACAUUUAGAUAUUGCUUUGAAAUCUACAGAUAAGGUAUGGCAGUUUCAUUUUAAAGAACAAGAUGUUAAAGUUUGUGAUAAAAUUGUCAUCAGAAAUACUGUCCACUUCAGUAUUUACAUAGGAAAAUAUUGGAGGAUGAAGCUCUACCUACUGCCUCAGAGCAACAACACAAUAAAAAACCAAAAUAUGAACACCAGCAACUAAAACAGGAACCAUUAAAUGAAUAUUACACACAGCAAUAACAGCAUCAAAUAAUGGAAAUAAUGGACCCUACUGCUCAAAUCAAAAACAAAAUUUCAUCAUUACCACUUUAUUGGUUAUAUCAAUAAAAGAAAUUAUUGAGUUUAUGAGUCUAGAUCCUACAAGCAAGCAGAUCUAUCACAUAAUUUAAAAUGAAGAUUUAUCUAUUAUAGUAAUUUAUUCUAAUAAUGAAAAAGAAACUUUGGAUCAAAAAAUAUUUUCUUCUGAUGAGGCUUAUGAAUAUUAAAGUCUGUUGAAGUUUGGCCAUUAUGUGUUGGUAUACAAUUUAUUUAUGAUGUUACAGUAGUUAAACCAUCCGAAUACAAAACAUAUUUAAAAUCCACUAUUCUUAAUGAACCAACUUGAGAGGAAGCUAAGAGAAAGGUUCUAUUGGGUGGACUACAAGAAAAAGGGACAUAUACAUGAGGAUCUGGAAGGGCUAUAACAUUACGUCUCAAGCCAUGGAACAAUAGGAAACGAAAUUCAAAGGAAAAUAUUACAAUACGUGGGAUGCAAAUUAUAGUGCAAAGAAUUGAGAAAAAGAAUUAUUAAAAGUAGUUAUAGUUAUGAUAGUUAAACCAUCUGACUACCAAAUAUAUUUAAAAUCCACUAUUCUGAAUGAAUAGCAACUACCAACUUGGAAGGAAGCUGCGAGAACGAUUCUAUUGGGUGAACUAGGAAGACAUGAGCAUCUGGAAGGGCUAUAAAAUUAUAUUAUUAUUUCACGUCCCAAGCCAUGUUGGAAUAGCUGGGAGUGAAAAAGAAGAUAAUACUGCACACGAUUCUUGUCUAGAAGUAGUUGAUAUUAAGGUAGUUAAGCCAUCCGACUAUCGAACAUUUAAAAUCCACUAUUCUGAAUGAAUAGCAACUACGAUGGCAAAACGUAAAUAAAUACUUGUACAGUAUAAAAUUAUAUUAUAUUGGCUUAAUUUUUAUACUAAAUAAAAUGUGUUACGUUAUUUUUGA